UUCUUGGGAACUAUAAUGAUAACUUUAUGUUGUGACCUUCUGUAGACUUGACUUGUCCUCUAAAUCGAUUUUCUUGGCAUCAGAAGCAGCUUCAUGGUUAAUUAAGUUUUCUUUCAUGCUUACAAACAAUUUCGUAAUGCCCGGUCAAGUUAAGAUGCAGCAGAAAGUUGGAUACAGGCAAAGUGAAGCAGUCCUAGUGUUUCUGCCUAUGUGUCUGUGUCUUAAUUUUUUUUUCUGAAGCCCAAAUUGACCUUGUUUUSUGAAAGGUUUGCAAAGUGUUAACAGCAGCAAGAUGCUUUUUCUGCAAUAUAUUGUCAUGGAAAAUCAGCACAAGACCUUAACUCUGGUUAAGAGAAGAAUUAGUAACCUGUUGUCUGAGGAAGUCUGGGAACUAAAAGUGACUUCAUGUUAUCAUGCAAAGCAACUUUAGUGCUAUGAAAGCCUGCCAUAAUUUCUUCCUAUUAUCUCCCUGUAUCUUCAGAAUUAUUUUUUUCCUACUAAAUGGAAUUUUUCUUUUACUGUGUUCAGCAAGAGGGGAAAAUAAACCUGGAAAUUAUCUGUGUUUGCAAAUCCUCCAACACUUGUUCUUAAGUGUCUCUAUAAAAAAAGUAAACAUUUGACCUAAUUUUUAAGGAGCUGAAAAACUUGGCUAAAUGCCAGUGAUUCUUGCUUUGUGUUCACUAUAUUGAAAUGUCAUAAUGAUCAUGUGUGCUGGUUUCAAUGGGAAUUUUUGUAUUUAUCUUUGCUUUUACUUAUCAACUUUGUAUCUCAGUACUGCAGAAGCAAUCUUGCAAAAAACUGGAUGUACAGAAAAGACGUGUAGAAGGCAAAGGAUGGGAGACCAUGGGGUGUUCUACUGGAAGAAGUAGACACUAAUUGAUUUUACUGAUCACAUGGAGUGAUUACAUAAUUGUUAUUUUAAUUUAGCUGAAAAAAAAGUUCUUCCAAAGCAUAGUGUAGUGCAAAGUAGCCUUUAUUUUUGCUCUCUGAUUAAAAUCUUACUGUCAUGGUAAUGCCACAGCUAUGCUUUAAGGAGAAAGACAUCUCUUUUCCAGAAAAUAUGAAAUAGCAGUGAUAUGCUGCAACACACAUCUUAUACUGUGCUUCCUGAAUUGCCUUAUGAUUGUUGAAUGGACACCAUUUACACACAGCAGUUUCAGGGCUUGCGUUUUCACUUCAAAUCUUCACAAGGAUCACAUGAAAAUAGAAGCAAAUCUGUCUGGUGAUGAGCCAAUGCAAAUAGAUGUUUCAGCCUACCAGAUGCAGCCUUUAAUUAUUUUCCCUGAUGAGACUGAUGCUCUUGCUCCUGUGCGGUGCAGCAAACAAGACCAAGUUCAUAGGAACAGGAGAUGAGGUGCCAUGAAACAGAUCUAAUACAGGAUUCCCCACUGUGGAAGACUUCUAGAAAUCUGCCAUAAUUAAUCAGGUAAUACUUCAAAGGAAGUCUUGCUAUGAUCAAAGAUAAAUUUUCUGGA